UAGUUAUUUUAAUUUUAAUUGCAUAGUUUAUCUAAGUUUGUAGAGUUUUCUUUUGCAGAUGCAUGUUUAAUUGGUAGUAGUUUCUGGCAUGGAUAUGAUUGCUGAUAAUAAAGUCUUGUAAGUUGCAUGUUACUUCCUCAUCACGUCUGGACGUAUACAAAUGAGAAUCUUUGCUAUCAUAUUUGAUAAAUCUUUGUUUCUGUUUAUUUAGGUCAGUGUUCUACAAGUGUCCAGCCUUCCAUGUACACAUUCCUAGACCACCAAGUGGAGUUCAUUAUCCAAAUAAGUCUAUCAUCAAGAAGCAUGUUAAACCCACACCAUUUUUUUGGCAUGAGAAGUCUGCUGUUGUUGGACGGUUGCAUUCUUUAAGCUAAACAAAUGGACUCACAACAAAGACAAGUGCACAAAGGAUGAUGAAUUGAAGGAUGGAGCAAGUUUCACGCAUGGUUUACUUUUGUGUAUCUUGUAAUGUUUCUAUUUUUCAUUUUUGAAGUAAAAAUUGUACAAGAUUAUAAAACUUUCUUAUGUUAUGCUUUCAAACUUAAGUUAGAAC